UGGGGAAUAUUGGACAAUGGGCGAAAGCCUGAUCCAGCCAUGCCGCGUGUGUGAAGAAGGUCUUCGGAUUGUAAAGCACUUUAAGUUGGGAGGAUGGGCAGUAAGCGAAUACCUUGCUGUUUUGACGUUACCGACAGAAUAAGCACCGGCUAACUCUGUGCCAGCAGCCGCGGUAAUACAGAGGGUGCAAGCGUUAAUCGGAAUUACUGGGCGUAAAGCGCGCGUAGGUGGUUCGUUAAGUUGAAUGUGAAAGCCCCGGGCUCAACCUGGGAACUGCAUCCAAAACUGGCGAGCUAGAGUAGGGCAGAGGGUGGUGGAAUUUCCUGUGUAGCGGUGAAAUGCGUAGAUAUAGGAAGGAACACCAGUGGCGAAGGCGACCACCUGGGCUCAUACUGACACUGAGGUGCGAAAGCGUGGGGAGCAAACAGG
rnacentral:rRNA from 1 species